GACGAACGCUGGCGGCGUGCUUAACACAUGCAAGUCGAACGCUGAAGCUUGGUGCUUGCACUGGGUGGAUGAGUGGCGAACGGGUGAGUAAUACGUGAGUAACCUGCCCUUGACUCUGGGAUAAGCCUGGGAAACUGGGUCUAAUACUGGAUACGACAUGCCACUGCAUGGUGGUGUGUGGAAAGGGUUUUACUGGUUUUGGAUGGGCUCACGGCCUAUCAGCUUGUUGGUGGGGUAAUGGCCUACCAAGGCGACGACGGGUAGCCGGCCUGAGAGGGUGACCGGCCACACUGGGACUGAGACACGGCCCAGACUCCUACGGGAGGCAGCAGUGGGGAAUAGUGCACAAUGGGCGGAAGCCUGAUGCAGCGACGCCGCGUGGGGGAUGACGGCCUUCGGGUUGUAACCCUCUUUCAGCACGGAAGAAGCGAGAGUGACGGUACGUGCAGAAGAAGCGCCGGCUAACUACGUG
rnacentral:rRNA from 1 species